GAUGAACGCUGACAGAAUGCUUAACACAUGCAAGUCAACUUGAAUUUGGGUUUUUAACUUAGGUUUGGGUGGCGGACGGGUGAGUAACGCGUAAAGAACUUGCCUCACAGCUAGGGACAACAUUUAGAAAUGAAUGCUAAUACCUAAUAUUAUGAUAAUAGGGCAUCCUAUAAUUAUGAAAGCUAUAUGCGCUGUGAGAGAGCUUUGCGUCCCAUUAGCUAGUUGGAGAGGUAACGGCUCACCAAGGCGAUGAUGGGUAGCCGGCCUGAGAGGGUGAUCGGCCACAAGGGGACUGAGACACGGCCCUUACUCCUACGGGAGGCAGCAGUGGGGAAUAUUGGACAAUGGACCGAGAGUCUGAUCCAGCAAUUCUGUGUGCACGAUGAAGUUUUUCGGAAUGUAAAGUGCUUUCAGUUGGGAAGAAAGAAAUGACGGUACCAACAGAAGAAGUGACGGCUAAAUACGUGCCAGCAGCCGCGGUAAUACGUAUGUCACGAGCGUUAUCCGGAUUUAUUGGGCGUAAAGCGCGUCUAGGUGGUUAUAUAAGUCUGAUGUGAAAAUGCAGGGCUCAACUCUGUAUUGCGUUGGAAGCUGUAUAACUAGAGUACUGGAGAGGUAAGCGGAACUACAAGUGUAGAGGUGAAAUUCGUAGAUAUUUGUAGGAAUGCCGAUGGGGAAGCCAGCUUACUGGACAGAUACUGACGCUGAAGCGCGAAAGCGUGGGUAGCAAACAGG
rnacentral:rRNA from 1 species